rnacentral:rRNA from 1 species
UACGAAGGGGGCUAGCGUUGCUCGGAAUCACUGGGCGUAAAGCGCACGUAGGCGGCUUUCUAAGUCAGGGGUGAAAUCCCGGAGCUCAACUCCGGAACUGCCUUUGAUACUGGGAGGCUCGAGUCCGGGAGAGGUGAGUGGAACUGCGAGUGUAGAGGUGAAAUUCGUAGAUAUUCGCAAGAACACCAGUGGCGAAGGCGGCUCACUGGCCCGGUACUGACGCUGAGGUGCGAAAGCGUGGGGAGCAAACGGG